AUUGAACGCUGGCGGCAUGCCUUACACAUGCAAGUCGAACGGUAACGCGGGGGCGAACCCUACGGCGACGAGUGGCGAACGGGUGAGUAAUACAUCGGAACGUGUCCUGUUGUGGGGGAGUAACCCACUCGAAAGGUAGAGCUAAUACCGCAUGAUCUGGAGACAGCAAAGACAGGGGACCGGUAACGGCCUUGCGCGAUUGGAGCGGCCGAUGUCCGAUUAGCUAGUUGGUGGGGUAAAGGCCCACCAAGGCAACGAUCGGUAGCUGGUCUGAGAGGAUGAUCAGCCACACUGGGACUGAGACACGGCCCAGACUCCUACGGGAGGCAGCAGUGGGGAAUUUU
rnacentral:rRNA from 1 species